rnacentral:lncRNA from 13 species
GGGAUUCAUUCAAUGGAGGUCCCUCUGGCUAUGGCAGCCCAUGCCUCCCCCUUCAGUCACUGGGAAACCUUGCGACCGUCAUGUGGUGUUCUGUUGAUUGAACCGGCCAUGCGGAGCCCUCUCAAUAGAGGCCGGGGCACAUUAAGCAGUGUACAAUGUUUUUGGAACGUUGAGAUAGAAACAAAAUAUAGAACAAUCACCUCAGUGACAUGUAGAAGGAAAUCACCUCAGCUCUGUGACAUGUAGAAGGAAAUCACCUCAGUCAGCUCUGUGACAUGUAGAAGGAAAUCACCUCAGCUCUGUGACAUGUCAUUUCUAUCUGCAGCCGUUCCACAACAUUGUAUGUUUGCUAAACUCUAUGUGACUGGAAACUACUGUCAUUUUGGUUGGGACAAUUCUAUAGGACAUUUCUACCUGGCAACGUGAUACAUAUGUUUAUUCUUACUUUACAAACACAUAUGUGUAACGGAUGUGAAACGGCUAGCUUAGUUAGCGUGGGCGCUAAAUAGCGUUUCAAUCAGUGACGUCACUUGCGCUGAGACCUUGAAGUAGUGGUUCCCCUUGCUCUGCAAGGGCCGCGGCUUUUGUGGAGCGAUGGGUGACGACGCUUCGUGGGUGACUGUUGUUGAGGUGUGCAGAAGGUCCCUGGUUCGCGCCCGGGUAUGGGCGAGGGGACGGUUUAAACUUAUACUGUUACAUAUGGAAACAGACGGAAGACAGUGUAACACUGCAGAUUACUCAAUCACUUACUCCUCAAUUGAGAAGGGAAAAGACAUUAAUUUAAAAAAACAAUUAAAACACUGAAAUGGCCCUCUAAUUCCCUAUACAGUGCACUACUUUUGACCAGUGACCUUCGGGCCCUGGAAAAAAAAGCUAUGCUGCACUUAAGUGAACAGAGGGCCAUUUAGGAUACAGACAUCAUCAUUGCGGUUUAGCAAAGCAUAAGACAUGAAAAUGGGAAGCUAUUCUUAGGUACAGGAUGAGCCACGUGUCCAGUUUAUUUGUUGUUAAAAAAAAAAGAAGAGAUGUCAAUAGAUGCACAAAAUAAAUCAUUUUUUGUUGAUUAACAAACAACGUUUGUAAGCAAAUGGCAGUUAUUGUCAAGGACUGGGGAUGUCUUUAGCCUACAGAAAAUAAUAUGAGAGGCCAAAUAA